rnacentral:lncRNA from 1 species
GCCAUUGUUUCCCUACUAAACUAUGUAUUCUACUUACUAGUACACUUGGUACAAUCAAAAACCUCAGCUGAUAAAAAAUUGUUCAAAUAAGGCCUUUGAAAAUAGUGGAAUAAAUUGCUUUUAGAGUGUCAAAAUUCGUUCGAAGUACUUGAUAAAUUGCAUGCUUAUAAUUGGUGCUUUUGAUUUUUCUACCCUAUAUACCACUUUGCCUCAUAGUUUUAUUAAGAAAAAUUCACACACCUCAUUAAAUGGUCAUUUAGAAAAAGUCAGAAUAUUCAAACUCUUUUAGGUCACUUUUUUGAUUAGCAACAAAGG